UCGGCUAGGGGGCCAUCCCGGCUUACCAACCCGAUGCAAACUGCGAAUACCGGAGAAUGUUAUCACGGGAGACACACGGCGGGUGCUAACGUCCGUCGUGAAGAGGGAAACAACCCAGACCGCCAGCUAAGGUCCCAAAGUCAUGGUUAAGUGGGAAACGAUGUGGGAAGGCCCAGACAGCCAGGAUGUUGGCUUAGAAGCAGCCAUCAUUUAAAGAAAGCGUAAUAGCUCACUGGUCGAGUCGGCCUGCGCGGAAGAUGUAACGGGGCUAAACCAUGCACCGAAGCUGCGGCAGCGACACUGUGUGUUGUUGGGUAGGGGAGCGUUCUGUAAGCCUGUGAAGGUGUGUCGUGAGGCAUGCUGGAGGUAUCAGAAGUGCGAAUGCUGACAUAAGUAACGAUAAAGCGGGUGAAAAGCCCGCUCGCCGGAAGACCAAGGGUUCCUGUCCAACGUUAAUCGGGGCAGGGUGAGUCGACCCCUAAGGCGAGGCCGAAAGGCGUAGUCGAUGGGAAACGGGUUAAUAUUCCCGUACUUGGUGUUACUGCGAAGGGGGGACGGAGAAGGCUAUGUUGGCCGGGCGACGGUUGUCCCGGUUUAAGCGUGUAGGUGUGUGUUCCAGGUAAAUCCGGUUCACUUUAACACUGAGGCGUGACGACGAGGCACUACGGUGCUGAAGCAACAAAUGCCCUGCUUCCAGGAAAAGCCUCUAAGCAUCAGGUAACAUCAAAUCGUACCCCAAACCGACACAGGUGGUCAGGUAGAGAAUACCAAGGCGCUUGAGAGAACUCGGGUGAAGGAACUAGGCAAAAUGGUGCCGUAACUUCGGGAGAAGGCACGCUGACACGUAGGUGAAGUGAUUUACUCAUGGAGCUGAAGUCAGUCGAAGAUACCAGCUGGCUGCAACUGUUUAUUAAAAACACAGCACUGUGCAAACACGAAAGUGGACGUAUACGGUGUGACGCCUGCCCGGUGCCGGAAGGUUAAUUGAUGGGGUCAGCGCAAGCGAAGCUCCUGAUCGAAGCCCCGGUAAACGGCGGCCGUAACUAUAACGGUCCUAAGGUAGCGAAAUUCCUUGUCGGGUAAGUUCCGACCUGCACGAAUGGCGUAAUGAUGGCCAGGCUGUCUCCACCCGAGACUCAGUGAAAUUGAACUCGCUGUGAAGAUGCAGUGUACCCGCGGCAAGACGGAAAGACCCCGUGAACCUUUACUAUAGCUUGACACUGAACAUUGAGCCUUGAUGUGUAGGAUAGGUGGGAGGCUUUGAAGUGUGGACGCCAGUCUGCAUGGAGCCGACCUUGAAAUACCACCCUUUAAUGUUUGAUGUUCUAACGUGGACCCGUUACCCGGGUUGCGGACAGUGUCUGGUGGGUAGUUUGACUGGGGCGGUCUCCUCCUAAAGAGUAACGGAGGAGCACGAAGGUUGGCUAAUCCUGGUCGGACAUCAGGAGGUUAGUGCAAUGGCAUAAGCCAGCUUGACUGCGAGCGUGACGGCGCGAGCAGGUGCGAAAGCAGGUCAUAGUGAUCCGGUGGUUCUGAAUGGAAGGGCCAUCGCUCAACGGAUAAAAGGUACUCCGGGGAUAACAGGCUGAUACCGCCCAAGAGUUCAUAUCGACGGCGGUGUUUGGCACCUCGAUGUCGGCUCAUCACAUCCUGGGGCUGAAGUAGGUCCCAAGGGUAUGGCUGUUCGCCAUUUAAAGUGGUACGCGAGCUGGGUUUAGAACGUCGUGAGACAGUUCGGUCCCUAUCUGCCGUGGGCGCUGGAGAACUGAGGGGGGCUGCUCCUAGUACGAGAGGACCGGAGUGGACGCAUCACUGGUGUUCGGGUUGUCAUGCCAAUGGCACUGCCCGGUAGCUAAAUGCGGAAGAGAUAAGUGCUGAAAGCAUCUAAGCACGAAACUUGCCCCGA
rnacentral:rRNA from 1 species